rnacentral:rRNA from 1 species
CCUACGGGUGGCAGCAGUGAGGAAUAUUGGUCAAUGGACGAGAGUCUGAACCAGCCAAGUAGCGUGAAGGAUGACUGCCCUAUGGGUUGUAAACUUCUUUUAUAAAGGAAUAAAACGAGGCACGUGUGCCUUUUUGCAUGUACUUUAUGAAUAAGGAUCGGCUAACUCCGUGCCAGCACCCGCGGUAAUAUGGUGGAUCCGAGCGUUAUCCGGAUUUAUUGGGUUUAAAGGGAGCGUAGAUGGGUUUUUAAGUCAGUUGGGAAAGUUUGGGGCUCAACGGUAAAAUUGCAAUUGAUACUGGCAGUCUGGAGUACAGUUGAGGUUGGUGGAAUUCGUGGUGUAGCGGUGAAAUGCUUAGAUAUCACGAAGAACCCCGAUUGCGAAGGCAGCUUACUAAACUGUGACUGACAUUGAUGCUCGAAAGUGUGGGUAUCAAACAGGAUUAGAUACCCGAGUAGUC